GCCGCUGUGGUGAAAUGGUAGACACAUGGCUUUCAAAAAGCCACAGAGAAAUCUGUGUCGGUUCAAGUCCGACUAGCGGUA
rnacentral:tRNA from 1 species